AAACCUUUCCUCCUUCACAGUUUCCUCCCACUGGUGCAUUGCCCAUCCUUAUUCUUUUGUCUCUGUUUAUUCUUUUUUCUUUUGCCCUACCCAGGUACGUGGGGGAGCUUCUUGCCUUUUGGGAGGUCUGAGGUCUUCUGCCAGUGUUCAGAAGGUGCUCUGUAGGAGCUGUUCCCCAUGUAGAUGUAUUUCUGAUGAAUUUGUGGGGAGGAGGGUGAUCUUCACGUCUUACUCUUCUGCCAUCUUGAAGCUCCACUAAAGGCCUCCUUGUUUAAUUUAACUGUGUAAUAGGACUUGUCUCUUGCCAGCAUUAUCAGAACUAUGAGGCUUAGUCAAUAAUUAUAGUUUAAGGCCUUCAGAGGUGUUAAAAACCACAGAUCCGAAAUAGUCACUUAUGCUAGGCUCCAUGUUACCAAACUCAGACUUAAUUACAGUUUUGGCUCUCCAGAAAUCGAAUCUUAAACCAGUCAGGAAUUGCCUGAUGAGCACUAGUUAGGUAAUCUGCCUGAUAAGACUCCUGUCAUCCCCUAAAGGAAAGAAACCUUGUGAUAACCCACCCUCUUUUAUGUCUAGUAUAACUUCCUUGUUCCUGCUGCUUUCUGCCUCUAAAAGUCUUUCAUUUUGUACAGGUCCUCAGUGCUCCUUUCUCUAUACUAGAUUGGAUACUGCCUGUUUCAUGAAUCAUUGAAUAAAGCCAAUAAGCUCUUUAAAAUUUACUCAGUUGAAUUUUGGUUUUUUUGACAACACCAUAUGCCAUGUGGGAUCUUAGUUCCCUGACCAGCGAUUGAACCCGCACCACCUGCAGUGGAAGUGAGGAGUUCUAACCCCUGGACUGCCAGGGAAAUCCCCGAAUUUUUUUUUUUUUAAAUAGAGGUAAACACUGCAUGAGGCAACCUUCCAGGAAACUUCAGUCUGAGCUCAUUUUGCCUACUGGAAAUGUUCCUAUAACUGUGUCUAUACUCCCCAGUGCUCUGUCCACUAUUACUAUAAAAUGUAACUAGUCCAAAAAUUGAGAUAACAUAAGACCACAGAGGUGGGAGCCACCGAUUCUGCCUGUGGAUGCUGGGGAAGAUUUUACAGUGGAGGUAAUUCUUAUAGGUUUGAGCCUAUUGUAGAAGGAUGGUAAGAGUUUUUCACACUACAUAAUUAAAAAAUGAUGUCAACAGGUGAUUCUGGCUUGCCCUUUUUGCAGGGAGUUCUUGCUGAUUCUCUCCUCCUCUUCCCCUUAAGAAUCAGAAAAUUUUAAACAGGCCAGCACCUUCUGGAGGUGAUCUAGCGUGAGAAUGCUGCCAGAUAGGGAUGAUCUACAUGGAUUGAGACUACUCAACCUAAUCAGAACUUCUCUCUUGGGCUGUGCCAGGAAGUAAAAGGAGGAAUAUGGAUAAGAGAGCCAGAGCUCCAGGAAUAGGAUGGGAUUAGAGGGGAGGGAUCACUAGAUGAAUGCCUCUGAGGAAAAAGAAGAGUUAAUAAAAAUUAUUGGGUCAUUGUUGGAGCCUGGCUUGGUAGCCAAGAAUGUGACUUCUUUUGCUUCUUGCUUCCUUACUUUUUAAUGUAUGUACUAAGAUCCAUCACAUAGUGUAGUAGAUAAAAAAUGGCCAAAAAUCCACUGGAGCUCCUGCCUUUAAGAGGUAGGUCUGUUUCCCCAUCCUUUUCAUUUAGAUUGGCCUUCAUAUACUGCGGAAGAAGGAAUGUGAGGUUUUCCAGACCUUAAGAAGUUUUGCACCUUUCACUCAUCUUUUUCUACUUCCACCAUGUGAACAAGCCUCAGCUACCCUGCUACAGAGGUAAUGUGGAAGAGACUGAGGCUCUCCAGCCAACAGCCUACCAAUUGCCCAACAGUAAACAACAAAUGUUGCCUGCCUUCAGCCACUGCAGCUGCCUCUGACAGUGCACCCUGAGUGGAAUUCACAAUGGAGAAAAAUAGGAUACUGGUCCCAGAUAAGAUUCAUAUCUAAGCCCCUGGAAAACUACCACUGGACUCUCUGCUUCUGUGAGUUUGACUAUUUUAGAUUUUACAUGUAAGUGAGUUCAUGCAGUACUUCUCUUUAUGUGUCUGCCUUUCUUUGCUUAGUGUAAUGUCUUCCACCUCCAUUCAUGUUGGCAGUAUUUUUUUACUGAGGCUGUAUUCCAAUGUGUUAUAUAUCAAUAUUUAUCAAGUAUCUAUCUACCUCAUAGUUUUUUUCUUUUAAUUGGAGUUUAGCUGAUUUUCAAUAUUGUGUUUCAGACGUACAGCAAAGUGAGUAUAAUAUGUAUAUUAUAUGUAUUUUCAGACUAUUUUCUGUUACAGGUUGUUGCAAGAUAUUGAAUAUAGUUCCCUGUGUUAUACAUUAAACCCUUGUUGAUUACCUAUUUUGUGUAUAGUAGUUUGCAUCUGUUUAUCCCACACUCCUAAUAUGAUCCUUCCCCUACUUUGGUAACCAUAAGUUUGUUCGUUUGUUCUCUAUGUUUCUGUUUUGUAUAUAGAUUCAUCUGUAUUAUUUAGAUUCCAUGUAUAAGUGAUAUCAUAUAAUAUUUGUCUUCUUCUGUCUAACUUCACUAAAUAUAAUAUUCUCUAGGUCCAUCCAUGUUGCUGCAAAUGGCAGUAUUUCUUUUUUUAUGGCUGAGUAAUAUGCCACU